rnacentral:tRNA from 1 species
GGGGCUGGGGCUCAGCGGCAGAGCAUUCGCCUGGCACGCGUGAGGCACUGGGUUCAAUCCUCAGCACCA